AUUGAACGCUGGCGGCAGGCCUAACACAUGCAAGUCGAACGAGUGGCGGACGGGUGAGUAAUGUCUGGGAAACUGCCCGAUGGAGGGGGAUAACUACAGGAAACGGUAGCUAAUACCGCAUACCAUCGGAUGUGCCCAGAUGGGUUUAGCUAGUAGGUGGGGUAACGGCUCACCUAGGCGUCGAUCCCGAGCUGGUCUGAGAGGAGGACCAGCCACACACGAACUAGAACACGGUCCAGAGUCCAACGGGGGGCAGCAGGGGGGGAUAUGGCACAAUGGGCGCAAGCCUAAUACAGCCAGGCCGCUUGUAUGAAGAAGGCCUUCGGGUUUUAAAGUACUGUCAGCGAGGAUGCGUUGCGCGCAGAAGAGGCACCAGCUAGCUCCGUGGCAGCAGCCGCGGUAGUAC
rnacentral:rRNA from 1 species